rnacentral:rRNA from 1 species
AAAAACAUCUUCUUUUGUUUAUAUAAAAGAUAUGGCCUGCCCUAUGAAUAUUAAAUGGCUGCAGUAUUUUGACUGUACAAAGGUAGCAUAAUCACUUGUCCUUUAAUUGAGGUCUGGAAUGAAUGGUUUGAUGAAAUAUGUUCUUUUUUUAUUUUAUAGUAAAAAAUUAAUUUUAUAGUCAAAAAGCUAUAAUAUAUUUAUAAGACGAGAAGACCCUAUAGAACUUUACUUAAAAUUUGGAAGGAAUGUUUUAGUAUUUGAAUCGUUCUUUUCAUUUUAAAAGUUUUGUUGGGGUGACAGAAAAAAUAUCUAAACUUUUUUUAUUUUACAUACUUAUAAGUAUAUAUUUGACCCUUUAUUUGGGAAUAAGAUCAAGUUACCUUAGGGAUAACAGCGUUAUUGUUUUGGAGAGUUCUUAUCGAUAAAACAGUUUGCGACCUCGAUGUUGGAUUAAAAUAAGAUAUAGGGGUAGAUUAUUAUAAUCUGGGUCUGUUCGACCCUUAAAUUUUUACAUGAUCUGAGU